rnacentral:lncRNA from 1 species
CUUUAUCCCUAGAAAUAAAUCAAUAACCUGCCAACAGAAAAUAAAAUAAAACUAAGACAUUUACUUUGUUACUUUCAAGCAAGACUAUGAGAAAAGGAAGCAAAGUCCAUGCACGGUGAGCUUAGGAAGGAGAUGUUGAAUGUCAGUACUUGACCCAGUAGUCAUGACAGAAACACAGAAUGUGGCUGGGUCAAAGCCUGGAGACAGCACUGGUUUGUGGGGUGCAGAACCUGUGUGGCCACUCAGGGGAGUACUCAGGUGGCCCAGGCCUUGCAUCACACCUUGCUCUUGCCAUCUUGACAGUCUUAAUCCUUUCUUAGCAGGGGCCUGGCAUUUUCAUUUCUGUACUGAGACCUGCAAAUUAAGCAGCUGGCAUCUGAAGGAAGCUGGUGCCUGAAGUGAGAUGUCACCUUCCCAGGGAGUUUCUGUGGAAUGGAUGGUCAGUUGUGGAGCCUCACACUCAUGUAUUCUAAAAAAAGACCUAGGGAUUCAGAUUCUCAUUAGUCUUCUAAAUAUCUGAAUGCUACACUCUUCACUUGGUUUUCACUACAACACCAUCACUUCUUUAGCUGAAUGUUACAUAGCAGAAACAACAGACUGAAAGAAGUUUAAGCAGAAGUGUGGUCACUCACAGGAAGGCGUUGUUUUACAAAACAAGACUGUUCUGUUUCAGAUAAAUUCCUGAACUAGAGGAAGAAGUCCUUCAUCUCAAGGUGCUUACAUGUGAGGUUUUUGUAGGUAAUGAUGUACUGAGUAGAAGAAUGUAAUAGGCCAUGAUGAACUUGCUCAUGGCCAAUGACAAGAGAUCUGAUACCAACUCAAAAUGUUAGCUAAGCAACUGAAAUGGAAAUUACAAAGAGGAGGGCUUCGGUACAAGUCAGCUUUCCUGUUGUUGAGAAAAAACACCUGACACCUAUAACAUAAAGGAGGAGAGGUUUCAUCUGGCUUACAGUUUUGCAGGGAUUCAGUCCCUGCUCAGGUGGCUUCAAGGCAGAAGCAACACGGUGGAAAGGCCUGGUGGAGGAAAGCAGCUCACCUCAUGGCAGCCAGGAAGCUGUGGUGGGAGACAUACCCUCCAAAGUCAAGGCACAGCCCCAGUGACAUACCCUCCCUCCAGGCCCUACUUCCCAACAGUACAUUCAGCUAUGAACUCAUCAGUGUAUGAAUUCACUGAGGAGUAUAGGGGACCCAUGAUUCAACUGUUAGAUCAAAGCGUGAGAGCUUAG